AAAGAAGAGCCACCAUCAUUUUUAUUCCAAGAAGAUCCGGCUCCCUGCUGACUCCACGAGGUUUUGCUAUCUGUCUUGUCCGAACCACCAUCUUGUUUAUUCCAGUCAGUCUUUGCAUCAGAUUGCUUUCCCCGAGAAGAUCCACCAUCCUGCUUGCCCCACGAGGUUUCUUGAUGUGAUUCAACCUUUUUGCCCCAGCCAUCAGACGCACCACUAGUGACACCAGCAGUAGAAGCAGCUUUCCCCCAACCAUCAUCUUGCCCAGAGCCAGUGUUCUCUUGAUGUGAUUCAACCUUUUUUCCCCAGCCAUC
rnacentral:lncRNA from 1 species